rnacentral:rRNA from 1 species
UAUGUAGGGGGCAAGCGUUGUCCGGAUUUACUGGGCGUAAAGCGCGUGUAGGCGGCCACGCAGGUCCGUUGUGAAAACUGGAGGCUCAACCUCCAGACGUCGACGGAAACCGUGUGGCUAGAGUCCGGAAGAGGAGAGUGGAAUUUCUGGUGUAGCGGUGAAAUGCGCAGAUAUCAGGAAGAACACCAAUGGCGAAGGCAGCUCUCUGGGACGGUACUGACGCUGAGACGCGAAAGCGUGGGGAGCGAACAGG